AACGAAAACAAAAUGAAUUCGAGUAGUUAACCCGUUAACCCGAUGAAAUUUGUGAUCGACUUAACACGAAACCUAUGCACGUCCACCACAUUACUUAUUUCAUUUAUUUUUAUCUGAAUCCAAUAAAAUUGUUCAAUAGUCGUAGCCGGCAAAUGAAACGAGAACAUUUCUAAAAAGUAAUGGCAUUCGAUCAAAAAAUUCGAAUUUUCACAACGAUCCCGCAUACAUUUUUAUUAUGAAUUCUUCCCAACUCCCCUUCCGAGAUAAAGGAAAAAGAAAUAAAAACUAAAUAAGAUCUGAUAAGGAAUAAGAAUUUUCGAUGGACGGGGUUGGGGGAAAGAGGAGAAAAAAAUAAAUUGAAAAAUCCAAAAAGUUAAAAGGAAAAUCAGAAUUCAAUGGUCGAACCUCAACGACGAUUGUAAAACUCGUCGUUAGCAUGAAAAUGGAGAGUACCAGAAAGUUUUUCUCUUAAGUCGAUUUUCCUCGGUGCGUGGAGUCUAAGCACGAUCGUUCUUUCCAAGUCACUUUUUCAUGGUGGAACAGAACGGCAAUGGUUAAAAGCUGGUUCGGGGGGAGAAGAAGAAGAAGAAGUAGAAAAAGAAGAAGAGG
rnacentral:lncRNA from 1 species